rnacentral:snRNA from 1 species
GGAUGUGAGGGUGAUCUGGCUGUGACAUCUGUCACCCCAUUGAUCGCCAGGGUUGAUUUGGCUAAUAUGGCUGGCUAAGCGGGUGUCCCCUUCCUCCCUCACUGCUCCAUGUGUGUCCCUCCUGAGCGCACUCAGUCAAAGAGGGCGACCUUCCCUGGUAGAGACAUACCAUUCAUUGUUCAAGGGUAUAUGGUAGCUGCACUCCCCUGGCAGAACCUCCAAACAAGCUCAAGGUGCAUUUGUAAGAGAACAUAGGGUACAAAAGAUUCCAAGACUGCAGACACAUCCAAGUGAGGAACUGCAUGUUUU